UAACCCGUACAAAGCCUGAGGCGAUAGCCGGAGCAACUUCUCAGUUCUCGCUUUCGCCGUCUCUCUCUGGUUUCGAUACUUGGAAGUAAAACUUAAAAUGGUAGAGCUGAGCUCUGUAUCUAGUUUGACUCCAAUUGCUCCUUCACAAGAUGCAUCUGAACCAAAACAAAACAGUGCUACUCUUUAUGGUGUUGUGCAACCUUCCUUCUCGUACUUGAAUGUGAACAAUCCACCUUCUAGAAGUUCACAGCAGUCAUCUGCUAGUCCGUCAUCUUCAGCAUCCAUUGCCAUUGAUUCUGCGUUGGUAUAUUGAGCAAAAAAUGAAGGAUUGUAAGCGGAGAAAAUCAAAGAAGAGAAGAAAGAGAAAGGGAGAAGGAUAUGUUUGCAGGAGUGGUUUGGUUUGUGGAGUGUGGAGCUUCACCAGAUGGAAGAGGUUUGGGGUUCAGGGUAUGUUGUGUAUUGGGUUACUGCGAAGAGGGGGUGGGGCUCCAGAAUGGUGGACGAUAACUAUUUUCGUAUUUGAUUUUUUAUUUCUUUUUGUGUUUGUAUCCUUUUAAGUAUUAGAAUACAAUUUUCUUUUUACACACACCAGAUUGAUGGACACCAUCCACGGGGACUACACAUGCCAAUAAGUGAAAGGUUGGGGAUAGCAUCUUGAAGAAACAAAGGUAGAGGAAAGAAGUGCAAAAAGAUGGUAAAGGUGAAGGCAAUUUAUUUGCCUUAAUAGACUAGCUAAUGCCACGAAGUGUAAAGCCAUUUCUUUGUUAUUUUCUCUUAAGAAAAAUUUCAGAAGCCUCUGCACAAAUAAUAUCGUGAAUAACCUAAUAAAGUAACGUUGAGUUCCAAAGAUAUAUGCUUUAUUCAAAUGUACUGAAAUUGAAUCGUUGUUUUAGCUACUUUGCGUGAAACUAGUACAUCAAUAUAUUGAGACAGAAUUUUGUCCAUGAAACGUUCAAUAUUCAUUGUGGUUGUGUUAUAUCCUUACACUUGUAUCUGUCAUCGCUGUUGAUGGAUUUCCACUUACUGACCAGAACAAUAAGUUAUGCUUGUAUCAAUUGAUAGUUUUGAUAUACUUUCCUGUUUGAUUUCCAUCAGUGGAGUUGUCCAACAGUCCAAGAUCAGAUGUUCGAAUGCUUGACAUAUCUGUUGAAAGGCUAUGAUAUUAGAAACAAAGUAAAGAAGAAAAUGAUAACUAGUUUGAACUUGAAAUGAUUAAGCCCUUGUCUGGGAGGGCUUCUCAGCAGAGAGGUGACCGUUGGCAACAAAUUUAUUACCGUUGCCAGCCAACAUUUUUGACCCAUCCUCUCACGGGUGGGUCCCAACUGACCACCCAAUGGUCAUAAUUGCAAUUUUAAUCAGGUUGAAAAAUCUGUGCCAGACAGCCCCUAAGAUAUUAUUGUAUACCAAUAAUUGGCUAGGAUUUUAUAUCCUUAAUAAAUGCAUCCUUCACUUCCUAAGGAUCUUGCUCAGUUGAUUUCCUGAUCAGUUUCUAUAUGAAGGGUCUGUAAGCUCUUUCUUCACUGUAAUGAUAUGAGAUGGCCUUUUUUUGCCAUCAUCUAAGAAGCUUUGGAUCUUUUCUUUGGUAGAUGAAAGAUAGCCUAAAAAGUGAUGCCAGAUACAAGGCUGUUAAGCACGAGGACAGAGAGAGGUCAUUUAAUGAAUAUAUAUCUGAGCAAAAGGCUGCUGAAAAAUUGAUAGAGGGGAAGGAAAAGACAAAGCAUGAUGAGGAGGAGAAACUGAAAGAAAGAGAACGAGCAUUAUGCAAGUGAAAAGAAAGAGUAGCAAGAAGUGGAGAGGGUGAGAACUAAAGCUCAUAGAACAGAGGCUGUUGAAUCUUAUAAAGCUUUAUUGGUAGAGACAAUAAAAGAUCCUC